rnacentral:rRNA from 1 species
CCUACGGGUGACAGCAGUGAGGAAUAUUGGUCAAUGGACGCAAGUCUGAACCAGCCAUGCCGCGUGCAGGAAGACGGCUCUAUGAGUUGUAAACUGCUUUUGUACGAGGGUAAACGCAGAUACGCGUAUCUGUCUGAAAGUAUCGUACGAAUAAGGAUCGGCUAACUCCGUGCCAGCAGCCGCGGUAAUACGGAGGAUUCAAGCGUUAUCCGGAUUUAUUGGGUUUAAAGGGUGCGUAGGCGGUCGGAUAAGUUAGAGGUGAAAUCCCGAGGCUCAACGUCGGAAUUGCCUCUGAUACUGUGAGACGAGAGAGUAGUAGAGGUUAGCGGAAUGUAUGGUGUAGCGGUGAAAUGCGUAGAGAUCAGAAAGAACACCGGUGGCGAAGGAGGAUAACAAAGAUACUUCUGACGUUGAGGCACGAAAGCGUGGGGAGCGAACAGGAUUAGAUACCCGAGUAGUC